AGAAAUCGAGAUUGGAUUUCACAGGAGGUUCCAUGGAGAUAGUGACCCCUUUGAUGGAAGGUCAGGGACUUUAGCACAUGCAAGUGCACCAACUCAUGGAAGGUGCCAUUUUGAUGGAGAUGAGAUAUGGAGUGCAAAUCCUGGACCUAAUGAGGUGGACUUGGAAUCAGUUGCAGUGCAUGAAAUCGGGCAUCUUCUAGGUCUAAACCAUAGUGAAGACCCAAAUGCUAUAAUGUAUGCUAGAUUCAGUUAUGGGAUUACCAAAAGGGAUUUGGGUACUGAUGAUAUUCAAGGAAUUCGUACUCUGUAUGGAUUGCAGUAAUGAGUUCAUUAUUCUUAUUACAAUAAGAGCAACUGAGAUCCAAUAUGCUUUGGAGGGUUUAGUGCUACGUAGUUUGAAUAAUAAUAUUUUUUAUAAUUCUCAUUUGUAUCACUAGGAAAUAUAUAAAUAAAAGAAAUCUCAUGGUUUUGUAAUUUCAAAUCCUUUUAAAGCUAUAUGACUUCUUUAUAAAAUCUCUACACAAAGAUGUUAAAAAAAACAAUAAAAUGUUUUAAUAUAAGUUUAUUUUAUGUACGAAUUAAACUUUUUAUAAAAAAAAAGAUUAUAAUAGUUCAUUCUCGGCGAUUCUUAAAGGUGUUAUAUUUACAAAUUUUAAUUAUCGUUACUGAGUAUGAUUAAUUAAAUUUAUAUAAUACGUUAAUAUUAUUUUCAUUUGAUUAUUAUUUUAAUUUUACCGUCUUUUUAAAUGAUAAAAUUAUUUAAAAUUACUUAUCUUACAAAUCAAAAUACGUAAGUAAAAAAUUAUAAAUGCAUGUAUUUUUUUUGCUUUGAUUUGUAAAGGUUAUUACAAAAUCAUGAUUUAUGCCUUUACUUCAAAACAUAAGGUUUAAAGUAAAAAUGAAUAAAUACUUCUUUACAAACUAUAAUUUCUAAAUCUAAUAAGCGAAAAGAGGCAUAACUCUGUCAGAAAAAUAGAUUUUAGAAGGAGCUUGUGUAAUUAUAGAACUUGAGAAAAUUAUAAAACUUAAUACAGAAUUAAAACAGAUAAAUCAAUAUGUAGAAUGAUUUGAUUUAAGUUUCUGUCCUUGAAUUUUUUAUGAUUUUUCAAUAUCCAGAACUAUAAAUAUUGAUUUGCCAUACAAACAUAGGGAUUUUUUUUUAAAUUUCAGAUUUAUCUAGUUUUUUUUAUAAAACGUAAUUACUUUACAAUCAUUUGACCGUUAUCUUAAUUUUACAGUCUCUUAGAUAAUAAACGUGAUAGGAUGUAAAUUCUGCCUAUUUAGCAUAUGUUUUAACAUAUUUAAUUUAAUUUGAUUCUGCUAAAUAUUUUCUUUUUCUUUUUGUAAUAUUAGUAGAUUUUAGACAUUUUUGAAAAAAAACUCUAUUUUGAAAGUUUAUUUGUAGAUUUUAGACAUUUUUGAAAAAAAAUUCUAUUUUGAAAGUUUUAGGUAAAAACUUAAGUUGAAGUCAUAAACUUAGCAUUGGGCACGUCUCACGCUGUGAGCAUAACUUCUAUUACACUACAAAACAUUUAUGGAUUACCAAUGGAUUUUUCUGUUGGUAAUCUUGUAAAAAUCCAUUGGUAAAUAAAUUACCAACGGAUUACUAAUUGAUUACGAUCCGUUGUUAAAAAGUUCGUUGGUAAAUUUUUACCAACGGAUUUACUAAUGGAAUUUCCGUUACUAUUACUAAUGGAUUUUAAAUCCGUUAGUAAAUUGAGGGAAAUAAUAUGAGAAAAUAAUAUGAAUAAUAAUAUAGAUAGAAAGAAAAUGAUAGAAAGAAAAUGAUAGAAGAAAAUAAUAUGAGAGGAAAAUGAUAUGAAUGAUAAUUAUAGAGAAAAUGAAGAAUAAGAGAAGAAAAAGAAGAAAAUAAUGGGAAAGAAAAUGGAGAAAGUGAAAGGAAAAUUAUGGAGGAAAAUAAAGAAAAUAAUAGAAGAGAGAAGAGAAUGAGAUAAAAAAGGAUAAGAGAUAAAAGGAAAAUAAUAGAAAAAAAAUGAGAUGAAAAAAAUGAGAUAAUUAUAGAGAAAAUGAAGAAUUAGAGAAGAAAGAGAAGAAAAUAAUGUGAAAGAAAAUGGAGAAAGUGAAAGGAAAAUUAUAGAGGAAAAUAAAGAAAAUAAUAGAAGAGGGAAGAAAAUGAGAUAAAAAAGGAUAAGAGAUGAAAGAAAAUGAGAUAAAAAAAAUGAGAAGAAAAAAAUGAAAUAAGAAAGUGAACUGAAAGAAAGUAAUAGAAAAAAAAGAAAAUUAGAGAAAAUAAAAGAAAGUGAAAAAAAUAAAAAUGAUAAGAUGAAUGAAUGAUAAAAGGAGAAGAAGUGAUGUUAUAUUUGUAAAUAUGGAUUACUAACGGAUUUAAUAACGGAUUUGAAUCCGUUACUAAAUUUCGAAAAUAAAAGUGGGUUUUUUUCCCUCUAAAAAUUACUAACGAAUUUCAAAUCCGUUACUAAGUCCGUUGGUAAUAAAAAAAUGUGAGUUUUUAAAAAAUAAACGUCAAUUUUAAGCGGGAUAUCAAUUUAAAUUUACAAACGGAUUCACUAACAGAUCCGAUAGAUUCAAUAUAUUUUUUUUAAAAUUUAGUAACGGAUUUUCAAAUCCGUUAGUAUUUUUUUGAACACAUUACUAAUGGAUUCUAAAUCCGUUAGUAAUUUAAACAUUUUUUUAAAUUUACUAACAGAUUAAAAUCCGUUAGUGAAUUACCAACGAAUUUACUAACGGAUUUUAAGUCCGUUAGUAAAUUUUAAUACUACUUAUUUUAUAAAUUUAUAAAUUACUUACGGAUUUUGAAAUCUGUUAGUAAUACUAAUAGAUCAUCAAAGGAUUUCAAAUUCGUUGAUAAAUUUUUAUACAAAAUUUUUUACAUUAAAAUUUACUAACGGAUUUAAAAUUCGUUAGUAAAUUCAUUAUUAUUACUAACAUAUUUUAAAUCCGUUAGUAAAAUCCGUUGGUAAAUUGUAACUUUUUUGUAGUAUUAGAUGACUUAUACUAAGAAGUGAAUGAAGUUAUGAAAUAAACCUUGGGCACGCUUCAUGUCAAGGUCACAGAUAGAAUUUGCUGAGAAGUAAGUAAAGCCAUAAAAUAAAUUUUGGCCUAAGUGUACACAGACUUUGGGUACGGCUUAUGCAAUACCACAAGAUUUUCAUAUCUGAUUCUCUAUUAAAUUGCAUAAACCAGUUUAGAAAGAAAUGAUUUUAGAAAGAAUUGGAAAUUUUGGAUUGUUUAUAAUUACUCCUUUUAAAAAGGGAAGAUUCUUUGAAUUGGAAGACUUUUGAAAUAUUAAUACUUUACUUUUUGCUUUUAUGAUUGAUUGCACCAUGAGCUCCAUAAGCUAAUAUUCUUUAUCUAGUUAGGAAACUUUCGAGGUGUAAUUUACUCUUAACUUUCGAGGUGUAAUUUACAAGAAUUGUGAGAUCGAAUCAAUCUUAAUUCUCAUUUUUAUUUCUAAUUUCUAUGUUAUUCCUUUAUUUUUGAGAUUAUUAUUUAUUUAGUUGAUGUAAUCUGAUUAAUUGCUCAAUUGAAUAAAUAACAUAAAGUUAUUAAAAUUCAUUAAAGUUAUAAUUGCUUGUGAGUUUGACACCUAUGAUAAACAAUAUUUUAUUGUGGAAUAACAUGUCGUGCUAGUGUGAGUUUUUUUGGUUAAAAUCAGAUCUUCCUAAUUUUUAAUGUUAUUAUCAAAUUAAAUCUCAUUGAGCUGAUCAGGUGAUUUAUUUGUUAAUUAGAGGCUAAUUAGUGAGAUGAUAUUUUUAGUCUAUUAUAUAAGGAAAGAUUAGGUUGUUAGACUGUGCCAAUAGUUAUAACUGGCCGACUAGAAAUUAAUUUGGAUAUAUUCCUUAAAAUUAAUACUAAGAUAUUCUCAAAACUAGAUAUUUUCUUAAUCUGAUUAAUUUUUUAAUUAUUUGUUUCUUAAUUAGUUUACUCUUACAUUCAGUUAAAUAUUUUCAAUUCAAAACCCCAUUUUUAUAUUUUAUUUUUAUUUUAUUUUACUUUAUUUUUAUGAACGAAUAAAAUUAAAUCGUCCCUUGUGGAUUCGACUCCACUCACCAUAUUUAUAAUUAUUUAUAAUAAGAGUAAGAUUUAUUUUUGUUUGAUUCGACACUCAUCAAAAAGUAUUUUAAAAUGACUUAUUUUAUAAAUAAAACACAUAAUUAUAAAAUAAUAUAUGAAUCUAUUCCUCUUAUUUUGAUUAACAAAAUUUAUUACAAAGUUAUGAUUUAUACAUUUACCUCCUGACAUAAGGUUCAAGGUACACGAGGAUAAACACUUCUUUUAUAAAUUGAUAUUUUAAAAGCAAAUAAUAAUGAAAAAACACUUACAGAAAACACUUAAAAAAAAUCACCAGAAAUAUAAUCGAAUCGAGUCGAAUUAAUUUUUAUAAAGCACACAUUCGAUUAUUAAAAAAUUUUGAAAACUCAACCUCAAAUUGGCUUGCACUCGAUUCAAAAAUUAAAUAUUAUAAUUGAAUUUAGUUCGAACUCAACACUUUGAAAAUUUCGUUUAAUAUAAUAAUGAGCCUAAUUUAACUAGUAAAAAAUUCAUUUAGUAUAAUAACUAAUCUAAUUUAAAUUCGAAUUUGAGAAACUCCACUUAAACGAGCGCACUAAAACAAUUUAAUGAUUUAUUUCUAGUUUUAAUCAAUUAAAUUAAAAGUUAAAACCAUAAAUUCUAAUUUAAUUCACAUCAGAUCAACUUAUCUUGCGUCCAUCUAAAGAUAUUAAAUAAUUAAUUAAUUAAUUAGUUAGAAGACCUUCUAGAGUGUAAAUAGCAAUAAUGCCGAUGAAUUAGUUUUCUCCCCACUUGAUUUUCGUUGUUUAUAAAGAAAUUUAAUAAGAAUGUCUUGAAGUGUUGAUUUGAUUUGUCGACAUAAAUUGAGGGAAAAAAAAACAAAAAAGGAAACGAUGAAGCAAUUCAUAUAUAUAAUAACAAGUUUUUUCAAAAAGAGAAAAGACGAUAUUUUUUGCUAAUUAAAUCUAAAGUAAAAACAGACUUUUUUAAAAAAAAAAAAAAAAAACUGUAUGUUUCUCCAAAAUUUAGUAAUAAAAUUUUUUAAUAUGCAAAAUAACAAUUUAUUUGGGUGUAUUAAUAAUUUGGAUUGAACAAAUAAUUUUCUCAAUUUCCUCAUUUUUUAGGAAAUGAGUGCGUCCAAGGGCAGUGGGUUCCAAGCAACUGAUUAAUUAGAUUGACUUCCCACUUGCUUUUCUUUAUUGGCAACGGGAAAAAAGACCACUUAAUGAGAAUUACUACGAAAUGAUAAACAUCAAUAAAUAAAUAAUUGAAGAGGAAGACUAGGUAGACUAUUCUUCUGAUGGCCAGAAAUUUUCAUAUACUUUCAUAGAAAUUAAACAUUUUCCUUGAGUCUAAAUUAACCCCUUGUUGAAGGCAAGACUUUUAUAAGUCUUUCUUAGUAAACAUAUAUAGAAACUAAGCACUAUAAAUAGAUACAGAAACUCCAUUCAUUCCCACCAAACAUAAGCACUAAUCUCCAACCUCAAUUGAUUGGUAGUUGGAGACUUUUAGCAGCUCAAUCCAAUGAUUCCUAAAACCUUCCAACUUUUUGGAGCCAUUUUGCUCCUCUUCUUGUUUCAGUUACCAAACAGAAUCCAAUCAAAACCAAGUGGAAAUCCUUUUGGGUUUAUCCAACACCUAGAGGGAUGCCACAAGGGUGAAUCUAUAAGUGGGCUCAAGGACCUUAAACGAUAUCUUGAGAAAUUUGGGUACUUGAAUUACGCCAAAAAAAGCAGAAACAACCAUGCAAAUGAUGAUGAGUUUGAUGAUCUUUUGGAGGCAGCAAUCAAGGAUUACCAACACUACUAUCACCUGCAAGCCACAGGAGUUUUAGACAAUAAUACAGUAUCUCAAAUGACGAAACCUAGAUGUGGGGUGCCAGAUGUUGUCAAAAAUGGCACAAACAAGCACUACCAUAAUCCCAAAUCCAUCCACUCAGUAGCCCAUUUCAGCUUCUUCCCUGGACCCCGAAGAUGGCCAGCAGAGAGAAGCCAUUUAAGAUACAGGUUUCGUUCCAGUGUGCAAGUCCCUGGAACUGGCAAUUUCAGGUCCAUAUGUGCACAAGCAUUUCAGAGAUGGGCACAAGUUACCCACUUCACAUUCGAGGAAGUUGAUGCUAAUUCUGAGGCAGAAAUCGAGAUUGGAUUUCACAGGAGGUUCCAUGGAGAUAGUGACCCCUUUGAUGGAAUAUCAGGGACUUUCGCACAUGCAACUGCACCAACUCAUGGAAGGUGCCAUUUUGAUGGAGAUGAGAUAUGGAGUGGAAAUCCUGGACCUAAUGAGUUGGACUUGGAAUCAGUUGCAGUGCAUGAAAUCGGGCACCUUCUAGGUCUAGACCAUAGUGAAGACCCAAAUGCUAUAAUGUAUUCUACCUUUGAUUAUGGGAUUACCAAAAGGGAUUUGGGUACUGAUGAUAUUCAAGGAAUUCGUACUCUGUAUGGAUUGCAGUAAUGAGUUCAUUAUUCUUAUUACAAUAAGAGCAACUGAGAUCCAAUAUGCUUUGGAGGGUUUAGUGCUACGUAGUUUGAAUAUAAUAUUUUUGAUAAUUCUCAUUUGUAUCACUAGGAAAUAUAUAAAUAAAAGAAAUCUCAUGGUUUUGUAAUUUCAAAUCCUUUUAAAACUAUAUGACUUCUUUAUAAAAUCUCUACACAAAGAUGUAAAAAAGAAAAAAAAAAAAAUCAAAUGUCUUAAUGAUCAGUAUUGAGUAUAAUUAAUUAAACUUGUAUAAUGCAUUAAUUUUAUUUCCAUUUGACUAUUAUUUUAAUUUUACAGUCCUUUUAAAUGAUAAAAUUACUUAUCUUACAAAUUAAAAUAUAUAAUUAAAAAAUAUAUAUGUAUUCCAUCUAUUUCAAUUUACCAACUUUAUUACAAGUGAAUGAAUACUUUUUUACGAAAUAAUCUUUUAAAAGCAAAUACUAUAAUUUUUAGAUUUAGUUAGUGGAAAGACAUAAUUAAAACAGAGAAAUCAAUAUUCAAUAUGUAGAAGGAUUUGAUUUAAAUUUUAGCAGAAGUCCCAAGAUUUUUUUAUGAUUUUUCAAUAUCGGGAACUAUAAGUAUUGAUUAAAAUGAUUUCUAAAAGUUAAUUUAUUUUUAAAUAUAUCUUUGACAAAUCCAACUAGAGAAAAAUUAUAACAAGAUUAGGGAUGGCAGGCGGGCGGGUUUUCAUGGGUAUCCGAUCCGCCCAAACCCUAUUAGGACGGAUUUGGUUUUUACAAAAUGGAUUUGGGCGAAUUCGGAUUUGAAAAAUUUUACCCGUCUCGGAUUCGGGUAGGGUUCGGGAUUAGGUAAUCGGAUACCCAUUACCCGAACCCGAUUAACUAUACUAACAAAACUAACCCUAAUCUCUAAUUUAUUUUUUUAUUUUACUCUUUCCUCUCUUCAUCUACAUCUCUCUCUCCCUCGCUUCCCUUCCCAUAGUUCUCAGCCACGCCCCUCCCCCACUUCACUGCCGGCAGCCCAGUCGUCACCGGCGACGUCUCCUUUCUCUCCCCAGUCGACGAUAAAUCUUCUCUUUCCUCCGUCAGCAAUAUCUCCUUCUCUCUCUCCAGCGGCGACAUCUCCGACUUUCCAGUUGAAGACAACUCUUCCCUGUGCCCGGUCGACGUCGGCGAUAUCUCCUUCUCUCUUCCUAGUCGGGUGAAAUCUACUCUUUUCAAUUUACGCUUCUCUCCCCGCACUUCACUGACGCUAGAGACAACCCUUCUCUCCUCAAUCGGCGACAUCUGCUUUGACUAGAACUCUCUUCAGGUUUCAAGAUCUUUUAUGUGUAUGUUCUUAAAGAAUUUUAUAAUUUAUAAACUAUUAAUCUGAUUAUUUGGAUAUAUUAAAAAAUCUAAUUAUUUGCUAUUUGAUUAAUGUAAUACUGUUGAUUUUUAAAAUUUAUGGACAAUUAUCUAAUUAUUUGAUUAUAAAUCAAUAUUUGUUGGGUUGCUGAGUUGCUGGUUCUUGUCAUUGAACAUUUCUCCUCCUACUGAAUUGUGCAACUGUUAGAUAGUUUAUUUGGUUUUGUCAUUGAAUGAAAUUAAAAAAAUUAUUUGCUGAGUUGCUGGUUUGUAUCGAGUUCGGGUAUUGUGCGGGUAUUGUUAAACGGGUUUGGAACGGGUUCGGAUAGUAAAAUUAAAAUAUUAAACGAGUUUGGGACGGGUUCGGGAAUUGUAUAUAUAAUCGGGUUUGGGUUUGGGUACUCUCAAUUUCGCGGGUACCCUACCCAUUUACAUCCCUAAACAAGAUAAGUAUCGAUUAAAAUGAUUUCUAAAAGUUAAUUUAUUUUUAAAUAUAUCUUUAACAAAUCCAUCUAGAGAAAAAUUAUAACAAGAUAAUUCUUCAAUAAUAAAUUUGCCAUACAAACAUAGGUUUUUCUAUUUCAAAGUUACUUAGUUCUUCUCUAUAAAAUGUGAAUUACCUUAUGCACUAUAAAAAAACCUUCGGAUUAUCCACAGAUUUUAUCAACGAAUUUUAAUCUGUUAAUAAUUUUAAUAAAUUUAAAAAUUAAUUAGUAAUUUUUAUAUAAUUUAUAUGUAUUAUUAAAAAAAUUUAAAAAUGAGUGGUAAUUUAUAAAUAAUUAAAAUAAUCGGUGAUGAAAUUUCCUAACGAAUUUAAAACCUAUUAGUAAAUUCUUUGAUAAUUUACUAAUAAAUUUCAAUAUGUCAGUAAAUCUAAAAAAAUAUUUAAAUUAAUAACAAAUUAUAAAUCUAUUACUAAUAUAUUUAAAAAAUCAUUAUCGAAUUUAAAAAUUUAUUAUUAAAUUUUAUUAUUAUAUUAAUAAAUUAAAAAAAUAUUAAAUUUAUCGAUGUUAUCCAUUAGUAAAUCAUUGAUAAAUUUAAAAUGAAAUCAGAUGUAAAAUUUUUACUUUUUCUUUAGAUUUAUAGUUGUCGGUUAAUGACGAAUUUCAAAUCCGUCGAGAAAAAAUCUAAUUUCUUUUUUUGUAAAAUUUAGUAACGAAUUAUGAAUCCAUUACUAAUUCAUAUUUAUAAAUAUAACACUAUCUCUUUUUCUUUUAUUACUCAUUCAUUUUAUCAUUUUUUUUUAUUUUUUUUCCCUUUCUCUCAUUUUUUUUCUUUUUCUAUUAUUUUCUUUUUCACUUUAUUAUUUCAUAAUUUUUUUUAUUUUUUCUAUUAUUUUCUUUUCUAUCUCUUAUAUUUUUUUUCUCUCAUUCUCUUUUCUCUUUUAUUAUUUUUUUCAUUUUUUUCUCAUAAUUUUCUUUUAGCUUUCUCCAUUAUUUUUCCAUCAUUUUCUUCCCUUUACCUCUCAUUUUCUUCAUUUUCUAUAUAAUUCAUUCAUAUUGCCCUUAUUUGAAAUGUCAAAUUUUGAAAGAAUUCGAAAAAUAAAUAAAUUCCUUUAUUAAAUUUUUGUGUUUGGUACAAUCAAUAAUAUAAAAUUUUAAUUUUCUUGAUUUUCGUGAGAAUUGAUUUUGAAUUAAAAGUAAAUUUUGCCAAAAUUAUUGAAUUUUUACAAAAAAAAAAUUUUAUUUAAAGUUACAUCAAAAUUACUUAAUUAGCCAUUGAAUUUUUUUUUUAAAUUUAAUUUUAAAUUUAUUUCUUAUUUUUAAUUAAUAAUUACUCUUUAUAAAAAUUAUUUUAAUUUAAUAGUAACUAUUAAUAUUUAAUGCAUUUAUAAUUAAUAUUAACAAAUUUAUUAUAUUAUUUUAUUAAUUUUAAAAAUAUUUUUUAUAUUUUAAUGGUAAAAAAUUACGUAAAAUUCAAACUUUAAAUAUUAAUAAUGAUUGUGAUAAAAAUGAAUGUUAUUUAUAAAAAUAAAUAUUUAUAUUUGUUUAAAAAUAAUAAGAAUAUAAAUGAAUUAAAUUAAAUUAAAUUUUAUUAUUAAUUUGUCUAACAUAAAUGAGUUAAAUUGAAUUCUAUUAUAUUUAAAUUGAUUCUAAAUAAAUGAAUUUUUUCAGAAAUAAAUUGAAUUUUUUAAUGAAUUGCAUACCAAAUAAGGGCAUUAAUUACUCUCAUAUUAUAUUCUUUUAUCAUUUUUCUUCUAUCAAUAUUUCUUUCUAUUAUUCUCUUUUUUUUUAUUUUCUUGUAUAAUUAUUUGUCCCUUUUUUUUCAUUUCUCUAAUCAUUAUUUUACUCUAUAUUCAUUCUUCCUUCUUUUUUCAUAAUUUUUAUUUUUUUAUUAUUUUCUUUUUUUAUCAUUUUCUCUUCAUCUAUAUUAUUUAUUUUUCUCUUAUUUUUAUUUUUAUGUAUUUCUAAUAAAUAUUGAAUAUAAAUUAAGAAUUUAGUAACAAUAAUAAUAUAAUUUUAAAUUUUAUUGAAGUAAUAAAAAAUAAUAUUAAUAAUAAAAUUUAUUAUUUAAUUAAAAUAAUAAUUAUUUUUAAAUUAUUUAAAUUUUUAAUAUGAAUUUAGUGACAAAUUGCAAUCUGUUAUUAAUUUAUUAAUGGAUUUAUCAACAGUAUCUGUUAAUAAAAUAUUUUUCUUUCAAUUUAUUAAUAAAUUUAAAAUUCAUUAGUAAUAAUAACAGAAAUUUCACUGAUAAAUAUGUUAAUAUUUUUUAAUAGACUUAAAAACUAUUGGUAAAAAUUUAUCGACGAAUUUUUUCAUAACGGAUUGUAAUCCAUUAGUAAUCAUUAUAAACGAAUUACUAAUAAAUUUUAAUUAAUUAGAUUAUUAACGAAAAAAUUCAUUGAUAAUGCAAAAAUUUCUUAACAAUCAUUUGACUGUUAUCUUAAUUUUACAGUCUCUUAAAUGAUAAAAGUGAUAGGAUGCAAAUUCUGCCUAUUUAGUAUAUGUUUUAAUAUAUUUAAUUUGAUUUGAUUUUGCUAAAUUAUGAAUAUUUUUUUCCCUUUUAUAAUAUUAGCCAAUUUUAUUCAUUCUAGAAAGAAAAAUUCUAUUUUAAAAGUUUAGACAAGAAUCAGAAUUGGAGUCCUAAAUCUAGCCUUGAACAUGUCUUAUACUGUGAGCACAACUUAUAUGAGUUAACUUAUAGUGAGAAGUGAAUGGAGUCAUGAAAUAAAUCUUAGGCAUGCUUCAUAUAAAGGUCACACAUAGAAUUUAUUGAAAAGCAAGUAAAGCUAUAGAGUAAACCUUGGGCUAAGCAUGCACAGACUUAUGCAAUGUCACAGAAUUUUCAUAUCUAAUUCUCUAUUAAAUUGUAAAAAUCAAUUUAGGAAGAAAUGAUUUUACAAAGAAAUGACACUUUUAGAUUGUUACUUCUAGAUUUUCUUUUAUUUCUCUUUAGUUUAGGAUUACUCUCGUUUAAAAAAUGGAAGGUUCUUUGAAUGGGAGAACUUUUGAAACUCAUGAUGCUUUACUUUUUUGCUUUUAUGAUUAGUUCUUUGAAUGGAAAAAUGGAAGAUUCUUUGAAUUAAAAAAACACAUAAAAAAAUAUUCACACAAGUGUAAUCAAACUGAACUGAACUGAUUUUUGUAAAAUUUAGAUUCAUUUAUUAAAAAAUUUUAAAAAUUCGACCUCGAGCUGGUUUAAACUCAAUUCGAAAAUUAAAUACUAUAAUCGAGUUCAGUUCACACUCGACUCAUAAAAAACUCGUUUAGUAUAAUAACGAAUCUAAUAACUUGACUCAUAAAAAACUCAUUUAGUAUAAUAAUGAGUCUAAUUUCAACUUUAAUAUGAAAAUUUGAAUUAAAAAAUUUAAAUUCGAAAAAUUCAAUUAAAAAACUCCAACUCGAAAAAUUCUAAAACAAUUUGAUGAUUUAUUUUUAAUUGUAAUCAAUUAAAUUAAAAGUUAAAACAAUAUAUUAUCAUUUAAUUCACAUCAGAUCAACUUACCUUGCGUCCAUCUAAAGAUACUAAUUAAUUAAUUAGUUAGAAGACCUUCUAGAGUGUCAAUAGCAAUAAUGCCGAUGAAAUAGGAUCUCCACACUUGCUUUUCGUUGUUUAUAAAGGAAUUUAAUAAGAAUGUUUUUAAAGUGUUGAUUUGAUUUGUCCGCAUAAAUUGAGGGAAAAAGAACAAAAAAGGAAAGGACGAAGCAAUUCAUAUAUAUAAUAACAAGUUUUUCCAAAAAGAGAAAACACGAUAUUUUUUCCUAAAUCUAAACUAAAAACAGACUUUAAAAAAAAAAAAAAACUGUAUGCAUGUUUCUCCAAAAUUUAACAAGGAUUCGAGUAUGUGUCUCCAAAAUUUAGUAGAAAAUUUUGAAUAUGCAAAUUAACAAUUUAUUUGAGUGUAUAAAUAAUUUGGAUUGAACAAAUAAUUUUCUCAAUUUCCUCAUUUUUUAGGAAGGCUUUGUAGUGCGUCAAGGGCAGUGGGUUCCAAGCAACUAAAUAAUUAGAUUGACUUCCCACUUGCUUUUCCUUUUUGGCAACGGGAAAAUAAGACCACUUAAUGAGAAUUACUAGGAAAUGAUAAACAUCAAUAAAUAAAUAAUUCAAGAGGAAGACUAGGUAGACUAUUCUUCUGAUGGCCAGAAAUUUUCAUAUACUUUAACAUAGAAAUUAAGAAUUUUCCUUCAGUCUAAAUUAACCCCUUGUCGAAGGCAAGACUUUUAUAAGUCUUUCUAAGUAAACAUAUAUAGAAACUAAGCACUAUAAAUAGAUACAGAAACUCCAUUCAUUCCCACCAAACAUAAGCACUAAUCUCCAACCUCAAUUGAUUGGUAGUUGGAGACUUUUAGCAGCUCAAUCCAAUGAUUCCUAAAACCUUCCAACUUUUUGGAGCCAUUUUGCUCCUCUUCUUGUUUCAGUUACCAAACAGAAUCCAAUCAAAACCAAGUGGAAAUCCUUUUGGGUUUAUCCAACACCUAGAGGGAUGCCACAAGGGUGAAUCUAUAAGUGGGCUCAAGGACCUUAAACGAUAUCUUGAGAAAUUUGGGUACUUGAAUUACGCCGAAAAAAGCAGAAACAACCAUGCAAAUGAUGAUGAGUUUGAUGAUCUUUUGGAGGCAGCAAUCAAGGAUUACCAACACUACUAUCACCUGCAAGCCACAGGAGUUUUAGACAAUAAUACAGUAUCUCAAAUGACGAAACCUAGAUGUGGGGUGCCAGAUGUUGUAAAAAAUGGCACAAACAAGCACUACCAUAAUCCCAAAUCCAUCCACUCAGUAGCCCAUUUCAGCUUCUUCCCUGGACCCCGAAGAUGGCCAGCUGAGAGAAGCCAUUUAAGAUACAGGUUUCGUUCCAGUGUGCAAGUCCCUGGAACUGGAAACUUCAGGUCUAUAUGUGCACAAGCUUUUCAGAGAUGGGCACAAGUUACCCACUUCACAUUCGAGGAAGUUGAUGCUAAUUCUGAGGCAGAAAUCGAGAUUGGAUUUCACAGGAGGUUCCAUGGAGAUGGGAACCCUUUUGAUGGAAUAUCAGGGACUUUAGCACAUGCAUUUGCACCAACUAAUGGAAGGUGCCAUUUUGAUGGAGAUGAGAUAUGGAGUGCAAAUCCUGGACCUAAUGAGGUGGACUUGGAAUCAGUUGCAGUGCAUGAAAUAGGGCAUCUUCUGGGUCUUGACCACAGUGAGGAUCGAAAUGCUAUAAUGUAUUCUACCUUUGAUUAUGGGAUUACCAAAAGGGAAUUGGGUACUGAUGAUAUUCAAGGAAUUCGUACUCUGUAUGGAUUGCAGUAAUAGUUGCAUUAUUUUAU
rnacentral:lncRNA from 1 species